rnacentral:rRNA from 1 species
GCCUACAGCCAAAUCACCCUGAAUAUGUCAGAUUUUUGCCAGAACUAAGAAGCUACGCAGGGCUGAGCCUGGUUAAUACCUGGAUGACAAAAUGCCUAUGAAAAAGCCGCUGUUAUAGGCU